GGUCGGGUGGCCUAAUGGCUAAGGCAUUGAUUUCCGGCUUUGGAUAUGUCAAAGAUUGCGGGUUCGAGUCCCGUCCUGAUCG
rnacentral:tRNA from 2 species